CUACCAUGCGAGUCGAGCGGGCGUAGCAAUACGUCAGCGGCAGACGGGUGAGUAACGCGUGGGAACGUACCUUUUGGUUCGGAACAACACAGGGAAACUUGUGCUAAUACCGGAUAAGCCCUUACGGGGAAAGAUUUAUCGCCGAAAGAUCGGCCCGCGUCUGAUUAGCUAGUUGGUGAGGUAACGGCUCACCAAGGCGACGAUCAGUAGCUGGUCUGAGAGGAUGAUCAGCCACAUUGGGACUGAGACACGGCCCAAACUCCUACGGGAGGCAGCAGUGGGGAAUAUUGGACAAUGGGCGCAAGCCUGAUCCAGCCAUGCCGCGUGAGUGAUGAAGGCCCUAGGGUUGUAAAGCUCUUUUGUGCGGGAAGAUAAUGACGGUACCGCAAGAAUAAGCCCCGGCUAACUUCGUGCCAGCAGCCGCGGUAAUACGAAGGGGGCUAGCGUUGCUCGGAAUCACUGGGCGUAAAGGGUGCGUAGGCGGGUCUUUAAGUCAGGGGUGAAAUCCUGGAGCUCAACUCCAGAACUGCCUUUGAUACUGAAGAUCUUGAGUUCGGGAGAGGUGAGUGGAACUGCGAGUGUAGAGGUGAAAUUCGUAGAUAUUCGCAAGAACACCAGUGGCGAAGGCGGCUCACUGGCCCGAUACUGACGCUGAGGCACGAAAGCGUGGGGAGCAAACAGGAUUAGAUACCCUGGGUAGUCCACGCCGUAAACGAUGAAUGCCAGCCGUUAGUGGGUUUACUCACUAGUGGCGCAGCUAACGCUUUAAGCAUUCGCCUGGGGAGUACGGUCGCAGA
rnacentral:rRNA from 1 species